rnacentral:rRNA from 1 species
GUCUUUUUGUAAUUAAAUAUAAAGUUUAACCUGCCCAUUGAAACAUUUUAAAAGGCUGCGGUAUAUUGACCGUACAAAGGUAGCAUAAUCAUUAGUUUAUUAAUUGUAAACUAGUAUGAAUGGUUGAAUGAGAAAUUAACUUUUUUUAAUAAAAUAUUGAAUUUUACUUUUUAGUUAAAAGGCUAAAAUAAUUUUAAAAGACGAGAAGACCCUAUAGAGUUUUAUAAUUUGUUUUUUUUUAUUUUAAAGGUUUAUGAUUAAUAAAAUAGAUAUAAUUAUUUUAUUGGGGUGAUAAUAAAAUUUAAUUAACUUUUAUUUAUUAAAUACAUUAAUAUAUGGUUUUUUGAUCCAGUUAUAUUGAUUAAAAAAUGAAAUUACCUUAGGGAUAACAGCGUAAUUUUUUUUUAAGUUCUUAUUAAUAAAAGAUUUUGCGACCUCGAUGUUGGAUUAAGAUUAAAUUUUAGGUGCAGCAGCUUAAAUUUUAAGUCUGUUCGACUUUUAAAUUCUU